rnacentral:rRNA from 1 species
CCGACGGUGAGAGGCGAAAGCUGGGGAGCAAACCGGAUUAGAUACCCGGGUAGUCCCAGCUGUAAACGAUGCGCGUUAGGUGUGUCAGUGACCACGUGUCACUGAUGUGCCGAAGGGAAACCGUGAAACGCGCCGCCUGGGGAGUACGGUCGCAAGGCUGAAACUUAGAGGAAUUGGCGGGGGAGCACCACAACGGGUGGAGCCUGCGGUUUAAUCGGACUCAACGCCGGAAAUCUCACCGGAUAAG